CACGCAGGGUGCGAGCGUUGUCCGGAAUUAUUGGGCGUAAAGAGCUCGUAGGCGGUGUGUCGCGUCGGCCCGUGAAAACCUGCAGCUUAACUGUGGGCUUGCGGUCGAUACGGGCAUCACUGGAGUUCGGCAGGGGAGACUGGAAUUCCUGGUGAUAGCGGUGAAAUGCGCAGAUAUCAGGAGGAACACCGGUGGCGAAGGCGGGUCUCUGGGCCGAUACUGACGGCUGAGGAAGCGGAAAGCCAGGGGAGCAAACGGG
rnacentral:rRNA from 1 species